UUGCAAGGAUUUUGGUGAUAA
ensembl:piRNA 21ur-3929 ncRNA